rnacentral:rRNA from 1 species
UUUGAACGCUGGCGGCAGGCCUAACACAUGCAAGUCGAGCGGAUGAAGGGAGCUUGCUCUCUGAUUCAGCGGCGGACGGGUGAGUAAUGCCUAGGAAUCUGCCUGGUAGUGGGGGACAACGUUUCGAAAGGAACGCUAAUACCGCAUACGUCCUACGGGAGAAAGUGGGGGAUCUUCGGACCUCACGCUAUCAGAUGAGCCUAGGUACGAUUAGCUAGUUGGUGAGGUAAAGGCUCACCAAGGCGACGAUCGUUAACUUGUCUGAGAGGAUGAUCAAUCACCCUGGAACCGAGACACGGUCCAGACUCCUACGGGAGGCAGCAGUGGGGAAUAUUGGACAAUGGGCGAAAGCCUGAUGCAGCCAUGCCGCGUGUGUGAAGAAGGUCUUCGGAUUGUAGAGCACUUUAAGUUGGGAGGAAGGGCAGUAAGUUAAUACCUUGCUGUUUUGACGUUACCGACAGAAUAAGCACCGGCUAACUUCGUGCCAGCAGCCGCAGUAAAAC